AGGCGGCAAAUGUGAUGGACUUAAAAGACAAAACCUAAACCCAUCCUGAGGACCUUUAAGAAAUGGCAGCUGACUGCUGGCUUCAAAUCUGUCACUCUUUCUCCCAGCCUCCAACUUCCAGCACAAUAGGUCAAUUUUACUAACAAGGCUAAGAGCCACCAUUUAAAGUCGGUUCUUCAAUGUGAACAACCACAGGGACAUUUAAAGCAGGAAGUCGGUGGCGAAAUAGAGCGGGGUGCUGGUGGUAUCCUGGCCUGAUCUCGGAACACUCCACGUUGUCCUCCUGGCGGUGGAUCCCCAAACUUACAAGAGCAUUCCCAGGCCAGGUUGAAGGCUGAGAGAAAGACAGUUAAUUACAGAACUCAAAUGCCAGGUGCCUCUGCUGUCACACGGAGAGCCACGUGAGAGGCUGAGAGCCUGUGGGGGCUCCGGCUUCAGAAGGAGUUCCAAAAACGGCUCUGAGUGCCACCAACCAGUCUUGGAAAGGCGCGUGAGGACCCUCUGCCGAUUUCUGCAUCUUGGCUCUUGUUUUCUUUGGCCGAGGCCGACAUCAUGUGGGAAAGAUGAGGGAACAACAUGACGCCUGUGCUGGACCUCCUCCGACUUUCUCACCCGCUCCGAGGCCCCGAGCAGCACAGUGCAGCCUUACAGGGGAGAGAACGUCCCACGGAAAUGCCGCUUCAGGAUUUGUUUCUUCCCUUCUGCCUGAGAUUAUUCGUCCUGCCUGAAGAUAGAAGGUGCAGUGUCGGGCAAGCCCCUUUCACACGCUGAAUUGGCUCCCGGCGGGGGGGCGUCUGCUCACUCACCCCAAACAACAACAACAAACAACACAGCCCGGCAACACGGAAAGAUUACAGACUAUUUCUCUCCCUUGGAAGCAUGCAUUUCGAGUGUCACUUUCUGAGCAUUUAUCACUCUUUGCUUCUGUUUCUUUUUUUUUUUUCCCCCAGCCUGCAUCUUGUCUUUUCUAAAUGA